ACUGUCUGAAAAUCACCUCUGGCCUCUGCAAUGGCUUCUGGGGAGAUAACUGCCUACAGCAACAGGAGCGUUAAGCUUAUUGCCCACAGACCCAAUGUGUGGGGAAUAAACCCCAUGUUCCUAUAACU
rnacentral:snoRNA from 1 species